rnacentral:lncRNA from 10 species
GCUUCAAGACACUUGGAAGCAAGAGGGCCACUCUAUUAAGGAUCGCUGAAGUAUGCCCACAUGUCAGGUUUCUCUCAGAUGUGGUAUCAAAACAUCAUUAUGGGCCGGGCACGGUGGCUUACGCCUGUAAUCCCAGCACUUUGGGAGGCUGAGGCAGGCAUAUGAAGAGGUCAAUAACAAGAAAGUUAGAAAGUCUUCUGCCUCCCAUCAGAAAAGGAGCUCAAGUGUUGUAUCCAUUGAAAAUGACAUCUGAUGCUAAUCAUCUCUGAGUGAACCCUACAUCUUACAGUAAAU